GAUGAACGCUGGCGGCGUGCUUAACACAUGCAAGUCGAACGGAAAGGCUCCUGCUUGCAGGGGUACUCGAGUGGCGAACGGGUGAGUAACACGUGGGUGAUCUGCCCUGCACUUCGGGAUAAGCCUGGGAAACUGGGUCUAAUACCGGAUAGGACGAUGGUUUGGAUGCCAUUGUGGACAGUUUUUCGGUGUGGGAUGAGCUCGCGGCCUAUCAGCUUGUUGGUGGGGUAAUGGCCUACCAAGGCGUCGACGGGUAGCCGGCCUGAGAGGGUGUACGGCCACAUUGGGACUGAGAUACGGCCCAGACUCCUACGGGAGGCAGCAGUGGGGAAUAGUGCACAAUGGGCGCAAGCCUGAUGCAGCGACGCCGCGUGGGGGAUGACGGCCUUCGGGUUGUAAACUCCUUUCGCUAGGGACGAAGCGCAAGUGACGGUACCUGGAGAAGAAGCACCGGCUAACUACGUG
rnacentral:rRNA from 1 species